GAUGAACGCUGGCGGCGUGCCUAAUACAUGCAAGUCGAGCGAACGGACGAGAAGCUUGCUGCUCUGAUGUUAGCGGCGGACGGGUGAGUAACACGUGGAUAACCUACCUAUAAGACUGGGAUAACUUCGGGAAACCGGAGCUAAUACCGGAUAAUAUCUUGAACCGCAUGGUUCAAAAGUGAAAGACGGUCUUGCUGUCACUUAUAGAUGGAUCCGCGCUGCAUUAGCUAGUUGGUAAGGUAACGGCUUACCAAGGCAACGAUGCAUAGCCGACGUGAGAGGCGGAUCGGCCACCUUGGAACUGGGCCAGGGACAAGGCUACUAAGGGAGGCCGCAGUAGGGAAUCUUACGCAAUGGGCGAGAGCAUGACGGAGUAAGGCCGAGUGAGUUAUGAAGGUCCUCGGAUCGUAAAAAUCUGUUAUGAGGGAAGAACAUAUGUGUAAGUAACUGUGCCCAUCUUGACGGUACCUAAUAAGAAAGCCACGGCUAACUACGUG
rnacentral:rRNA from 1 species